AAAGUCUCCAACAUUAAAAAACAAAUCCAAAUAACCGAUUUAUAUCGAUAAUACGGAUAUGGAAUCAGACAUGCUACGUGUUAAAGUACAGUGGGCCUACGAAUUUUAAUUUUCGACGCGAGACUCGACCAUUUGUCGCCUAUCCCCAUACCAGUUUAUUUUUCCGCCUCUUUUCGGCGGAGUCGCGACAACAAUUCCGCUGUCUGGCCGCCAGCCAAGUGGAGCGUCAGCGGCAGCACAAAGUCUGGGUCUAAGUCCGAUUAAUGGCAUUGCGUGAAAUUUGUGUAUUA